rnacentral:rRNA from 1 species
GAUGAACGCUGGCGGCGUGCCUAAUACAUGCAAGUCGAGCGAACAGACGAGGAGCUUGCUCCUCUGACGUUAGCGGCGGACGGGUGAGUAACACGUGGAUAACCUGCCUAUAAGACUGGGAUAACUUCGGGAAACCGGAGCUAAUACCGGAUAAUAUAUUGAACCGCAUGGUUCAAUAGUGAAAGACGGUUUUGCUGUCACUUAUAGAUGGAUCCGCGCCGCAUUAGCUAGUUGGUAAGGUAACGGCUUACCAAGGCAACGAUGCGUAGCCGACCUGGGAGGGUGAUCAGCCACACUGGAACUGAGACACGGUCCAGACUCCUACGGGAGGCAGCAGUAGGGAAUCUUCCGCAAUGGGCGAAAGCCUGACGGAGCAACGCCGCGUGAGUGAUGAAGGUCUUCGGAUCGUAAAACUCUGUUAUUAGGGAAGAACAAAUGUGUAAGUAACUAUGCACGUCUUGACGGUACCUAAUCAGAAAGCCACGGCUAACUACGUG